rnacentral:rRNA from 1 species
CCGCCGGAGGUAUAGCUAGGGGGGUUCGAUUAAGCCAUGCGAGUCGAGAGGGUUCGGCCCUCGGCGUACUGCUCAGUAACACGUGGAUAACCUGCCCUAGGGAAGGGGAUAAUCCCGGGAAACUGGGGAUAAUACCCUAUAGGUUACAGAUGCUGGAAUGCUCUGUAAUCAAAAGUUCCGGCGCCCUAGGAUGGAUCUGCGGCCGAUUAGGUUGUUGUUGGGGUAAUGGCCCAACAAGCCAGUAAUCGGUACGGGUUGUGGGAGCAAGAGCCCGGAGUUGGAUUCUGAGACACGAAUCCAGGCCCUACGGGGCGCAGCAGGCGCGAAAACUUUACAAUGCGGGCAACCGUGAUAAGGGAACCUCGAGUGCCUGUAAAUGCAGGCUGUUCAGAUGCCUAAAACACAUCCGGAGAAAGGGCCGGGCAAGACCGGUGCCAGCCGCCGCGGUAAUACCGGCGGCUCGAGUGGUGGCCACUUUUAUUGGGCUUAAAGCGUUCGUAGCUGGGUUGUUAAGUCUCUUGGGAAAUCUGGCGGCUUAACCGUCAGGCGUCUAAGGGAUACUGGCAAUCUUGGAACCGGGAGAGGUGAGGGGUACUUCGGGGGUAGGAGUGAAAUCCUGUAAUCCUCGAGGGACCACCUGUGGCGAAGGCGCCUCACCAGAACGGCUUCGACAGUGAGGGACGAAAGCUGGGGGAGCAAACCGGAUUAGAUACCCGGGUAGUCCCAGCCGUAAACUAUGCGCGUUAGGUGUAUCGGUGACCACGAGUUACCGAGGUGCCGAAGGGAAACCGUGAAACGUACCGCCUGGGAAGUACGGCCGCAAGGUUUGAAACUUAAAACAAUUAGCGCCGGAACACCACCACACGAGGUACAAGCCGUUUAAUUGGAUUCAACGCCGCA